rnacentral:rRNA from 1 species
GAUGAACGCUGGCGGCGUGCCUAAUACAUGCAAGUCGAGCGAACAGACGAGGAGCUUGCUCCUCUGACGUUAGCGGCGGACGGGUGAGUAGCACGUGGAUAACCUACCUAUAAGACUGGGAUAACUUCGGGAAACCGGAGCUAAUACCGGAUAAUAUAUUGAACCGCAUGGUUCAAUAGUGAAAGACGGUUUUGCUGUCACUUAUAGAUGGAUCCGCGCCGCAUUAGCUAGUUGGUAAGGUAACGGCUUACCAAGGCAACGAUGCGUAGCCGACCUGAGAGGGUGAUCGGCCAUACUGGAACUGAGACACGGUCCAGACUCCUACGGGAGGCAGCAGUAGGGAAUCUUCCGCAAUGGGCGAAAGCCUGACGGAGCAACGCCGCGUGAGUGAUGAAGGUCUUCGGAUCGUAAAACUCUGUUAUUAGGGAAGAACAAAUGUGUAAGUAACUAUGCACGUCUUGACGGUACCUAAUCAGAAAGCCACGGCUAACUACGUG